rnacentral:rRNA from 1 species
GAUGAACGCUGGCGGCGUGCCUAAUACAUGCAAGUCGAACGCUUCACUUCGGUGAAGAGUGGCGAACGGGUGAGUAAUACAUAAGUAACCUGGCAUCUACAGGGGGAUAACUGAUGGAAACGUCAGCUAAGACCGCAUAGGUGUAGAGAUCGCAUGAACUCUAUAUGAAAAGUGCUACGGGACUGGUAGAUGAUGGACUUAUGGCGCAUUAGCUUGUUGGUAGGGUAACGGCCUACCAAGGCGACGAUGCGUAGCCGACCUGAGAGGGUGACCGGCCACACUGGGACUGAGACACGGCCCAGACUCCUACGGGAGGCAGCAGUAGGGAACUUUCGGCAAUGGGGGAAACCCUGACCGAGCAACGCCGCGUGAAGGAAGAAGUAAUUCGUUAUGUAAACUUCUGUCAUAGAGGAAGAACGGUGGAUAUAGGGAAUGAUAUCCAAGUGACGGUACUCUAUAAGAAAGCCACGGCUAACUACGUG